CAGUAGCCGCGGGAAUACGAAGGGGGCUAGCGUUGCUCGGAAUGACUGGGCGUAAAGGGCGCGUAGGCGGCGGCCAAAGUCAGGCGUGAAAUUCCUGGGCUCAACCUGGGGGCUGCGUUUGAUACUUGGUUGCUUGAGUGGGGAAGAGGGUCGUGGAAUUCCCAGUGUAGAGGUGAAAUUCGUAGAUAUUGGGAAGAACACCGGUGGCGAAGGCGGCGACCUGGUCCUUUACUGACGCUGAGGCGCGAAAGCGUGGGGAGCAAACAGGAUUAGAUACCCCCGUAGUCCCUGUCUCUUAUAA
rnacentral:rRNA from 1 species